CACGUGGGAGGAGCAUUCUGCAACUUGGCCUCCAGGUCUUUGGAGAAAACACCUUCAGUGAAGUGGUCUGGGUUGAAGAAGCCUCUUGCAGUCUACUGAGUAUGCAGAGCUGAGGAAUAGAUGGACUCCAAGAAUCUAAACCACAUUUCAAUAAAUUAAUCAUGUACAGAUGUGAGAGCUGGACCAUAAAGAAGGCUGAGCGCCAAAGAAUUGAUGCUUUUGAACUGUGGUGCUAGAGAAUACUCUUGAGAGUCUCUUGGUCAGUAAGAAGAUUAAAAUAGUCAAUCCUAAAGGAAAUCAACCCUGAAUAUUCACUGGAAGGACUGAUGCUGAAGCUCCAAUACCUUGGCCACCUGAGGCAAAGAGCUGACUCAUUGGAAAAGACUCUGAUCCUGGGAAAGACUGAGUAGAAGAGUGGAACAGGGCGACAGAGGAUGAGAUGGUUGGAUGGCAUCACUGACUCGAUGGACAUGAGUUUGAGCAAAUUCUGGGAGAUAGUGGAGGGCAUGGAAGCCUGGCAUGCUAUAGUUCAUGGAGUCACAAAGAGUGGGACGUGAUUCAGCAAUUAAACAACAAUAGGUAACUGGUGUAAGCACCUACUCUGUACCUGACCCUUUAUGGAUGUUUGGAAUAAAGAAUUAUGUAAGACUCGGUCUCUGACGUCUGAGCACUUCUAGGAGACACAAGGAUAUGAACAAGCGACUCCAACAGAACAUGGUCCAGGCAUGCGGGCACCUGGACUAGCAGUGCUCAGCUCUAGUUGAGGGGAGCCAGAAAACCUUCACAAAGGAGGUGAAGCUUGAUUUGGGUCUUUUUUUAAAUUUUAAUUGGAAGCUAAUUACUUUACAAUAUUGUAGUGGUUUUGUCAUACAUUAACAUGAAUCAGCCAUGGGUGUACAUGAGUUCCCCAUCCUGAAGCCCCCUCCCACCUCGCUCCCCAUUCCAUCCCAAAACAUGUAUAUUACUAUAUGUGAAACAGAUUGCCAGUCCAGGUUCAAUGCAUGAGACAGGGUGCUCAGGGCUGGUGCACUGGGAUGAUUUGGGUCUUGAAGGAUGAUUCAGAGUUAGUCAGAUGGGCAGUUAGGGAAUGAAUAGUAAGCAAUUAAAUAUUUGUGGUCGAGU
ensembl:lncRNA